rnacentral:rRNA from 1 species
UACGAAGGGGGCUAGCGUUGCUCGGAAUUACUGGGCGUAAAGGGCGCGUAGGCGGAUAGUUUAGUCAGAGGUAAAAGCCCAGGGCUCAACCUUGGAACUGCCUUUGAUACUGGCUAUCUUGAGUUCGGGAGAGGUGAGUGGAAUGCCGAGUGUAGAGGUGAAAUUCGUAGAUAUUCGCAAGAACACCAGUGGCGAAGGCGGCUCACUGGCCCGAUACUGACGCUGAGGCACGAAAGCGUGGGGAGCAAACAGG